GCGGCAUGCUUAACACAUGCAAGUCGAACGGACUUGUAGGGCUUGCUCUACAAGUUAGUGGCAGACGGGUGAGUAACGCGUGGGAAUGUACCUUUUGGUUCGGAAUAACUUCGGGGAACUGAAGCUAAUACCGGAUAAGCCCGUGAGGGGAAAGAUUUAUCGCCAUUAGAGCGGCCCGCGUUAGAUUAGCUAGUUGGUGAGGUAAAGGCUCACCAAGGCUACGAUCUAUAGCUGGUCUGAGAGGAUGAUCAGCCACACUGGGACUGGGACACGGCCCAGACUCCUACGGGAGGCAGCAGUGGGGAAUCUUGCGCAAUGGGCGAAAGCCUGACGCAGCCAUGCCGCGUGAAUGAUGAAGGUCUUAGGAUUGUAAAAUUCUUUUACCAGGGACGAUAAUGACGGUACCUGGAGAAAAAGCCCCGGCUAACUACGUGCCAGCCGCCGCCGUAA
rnacentral:rRNA from 1 species